rnacentral:rRNA from 1 species
UGAGGAAUAUUGGUCAAUGGACGCAAGUCUGAACCAGCCAUGCCGCGUGCAGGAUGACGGCUCUAUGAGUUGUAAACUGCUUUUGUACUAGGGUAAACUCACCUACGUGUAGGUGACUGAAAGUAUAGUACGAAUAAGGAUCGGCUAACUCCGUGCCAGCAGCCGCGGUAAUACGGAGGAUUCAAGCGUUAUCCGGAUUUAUUGGGUUUAAAGGGUGCGUAGGCGGUUUGAUAAGUUAGAGGUGAAAUGUUAGGGCUCAACCCUGAAACUGCCUCUAAUACUGUUGAGCUAGAGAGUAGUUGCGGUAGGCGGAAUUCCCGGUGUAGCGGUGAAAUGCUUAGAGAUCAUACAGAACACCGAUUGCGAAGGCAGCUUACCAAACUAUAUCUGACGUUGAGGCACGAAAGCGUGGGGAGCAAACAGGAUUAGAUACCCUGGUAGUCCACGCAGUAAACGAUGAUAACUCGUUGUCGGCGAUACACAGUCGGUGACUAAGCGAAAGCGAUAAGUUAUCCACCUGGGGAGUACGUUCGCAAGAAUGAAACUCAAAGGAAUUGACGGGGGCCCGCACAAGCGGAGGAACAUGUGGUUUAAUUCGAUGAUACGCGAGGAACCUUACCCGGGCUUGAAAGUUAGCGACGAUUCUUGAAAGAGGAUUUCCCUUCGGGGCGCGAAACUAGGUGCUGCAUGGUUGUCGUCAGCUCGUGCCGUGAGGUGUCGGGUUAAGUCCCAUAACGAGCGCAACCCCUACCGUUAGUUGCCAUCAGGUCAAGCUGGGCACUCUGGCGGGACUGCCGGUGUAAGCCGAGAGGAAGGUGGGGAUGACGUCAAAUCAGCACGGCCCUUACGUCCGGGGCUACACACGUGUUACAAUGGUAGGUACAGAGGGCAGCUACCCAGCGAUGGGAUGCGAAUCUCGAAAGCCUAUCUCAGUUCGGAUUGUAGUCUGCAACUCGACUACAUGAAGUUGGAUUCGCUAGUAAUCGCGCAUCAGCCAUGGCGCGGUGAAUACGUUCCC